UACGAAGGGGGCUAGCGUUGUUCGGAAUCACUGGGCGUAAAGGGCGCGUAGGCGGCCGCUCAAGUCGGGGGUGAAAUCCUGGAGCUCAACUCCAGAACUGCCUUUGAUACUGGCGAUCUUGAGUCCGGGAGAGGUGAGUGGAACUGCGAGUGUAGAGGUGAAAUUCGUAGAUAUUCGCAAGAACACCAGUGGCGAAGGCGGCUCACUGGCCCGGUACUGACGCUGAGGUGCGAAAGCGUGGGGAGCAAACAGGG
rnacentral:rRNA from 1 species